UUAUUCUAUUUACUCUUUUUCGUCCGCCCUCUCCUACAAUAACGCCUCCUUCUCCUACUCCUGCACCACCACCAAAACCUCGACCAUUUCAAAAGAAGCUCUGAAUCAUCCAUGGCAUAUACAGAUAGAAUUAUAGGGGUUUGUUUAUCGUUGAAUGGUUGAUUGAGGCGAUCAAUUCGUUGUUCAUUUUCCGACGCUAAUUCUUACUAGAAAUUCAGUAAAUUAAAUUGUAUUUAGGUUUCGAUUUGGGUUUUUAGAUCUACUCGGUGUUGAUUGUUAAAUUAAAUUAUAGUUCGGCUUCGAUUUGGUUUUUCAGAUCUACUAGGUUUUGAUUAUGAAAUUGGUGUCGUUACUGAUGGAUCUUGAGCAGGGUUCGUUGUUAAUUGAAACGUGUCCAAGUUAGCAGAGAAAUCUCUUGGAUUUAUCAAAAUGUUUUCGGAAUUAUACGAUUAGAAUAGCAUGAUCCUAUAAUUUUGGUGGAGCUUCCUAACUGGUACUGGGAUUCAUCUAUUGCAGUCAGAAUCCCCAAAAAAUAUGUCAAAGAAAAUGAGUAUAAAUCCCAAAUAGGAACACAUCUCGUUUCAUAAAGAUGCUUGAAAUUUUGGAUUUGAUAUUUUCUCCUUCCCAUUGUUUUUUUUUAUCCGCAUCAAAAUGAUAUUCCUUUGCCAUUGUCAUGUGUAGCUUAAUCAAAAGAGUCAUAAAUGAGAAUCCGUUUACAUGGUUUCUGUCUAAGCUGUUUUUUUCCUUCUAAUUCGCGAUUUGGUUGUGUAAAAUUUAUCUUUUUACAUGUAAUGGUUGCAGUCAAGUUGCUAACGACGCUGUCGGGAGUAUAAAAACAGUGGCUUCCUUUAGGUGAUGGCUUUGGAUAAAAAGAAAAGUGAAAGUCCAGUUUAAGCUGGUAUAAGACUUGGAUUAAUUUGUGGGGUUGCAUUUGAUUAAUGGGAGCUCAAUUUGUGGAGAUUGGAAGGAUGUCAUUUGCUGAUGUUUUUCAAGUUUUCGUUGCUCUCACAAUGACUACAAUUGUAGAUACAAACAAUUUGGCAAAGCUCUAUACUUGAACUGGCUGAUUGUUUACUUGCGAGGUGUUGGUGGCUUCUCAAAAUCAUCACCCCAUAUUCGUGUAGCAAGUUCCCCACCGGCCUGUCAGAUUAAGCCUGUUCAGUUUGCAAAAAUCUAGUAAACUAAAUUACUAGAUAUCCAUACCCCUAUUGUCUGUUUCAUUUGUUCAAUGGACUUGUAUAACACCUCUUAUAAUUUCUCUUGCAGGUACACAACAAGUCCGCAUUUGUUCAAUGAACUUGUAUAAUACGCUCUUGUAAUUUCUCCUGCAGUAGAAUAGACAGUUGAUGAAAUUGGUUUCAUCGUAUUUUUGCUAAUUUUUGUCGACGAAACCAAUUUGUUGGUGAUAUAAUAAUAAUUUUUUCUGUUGAAACCAAUUUUGGUUUCAUCUAAAAUGUGCUUUUUUUCCAGAUUUUAUGUCGAUGAAACCAAUUUUGUUGGUGAUACGGUAAUUUAUGUUGAAACGAGUUUUGGUUGCUUCUAAUUUUAUUUCACUUUUUAUCGACGAAACCAAUAUUAUUGGUAAUACGAUAACUUUAUGUUGAGACGAGCUUUGGUUUCAUUUUUUAUUUAUUUUUCCCCGACGAAACGAAUAUUUUUGGUGAUACAAUAAUUUAUGUUAAACGAGUUUCGGUUUCAUCUAAUUUUAUUGCAGUUUUUUUUUAUAGUUUUUGUGGACAAAACCAAUCUUAUUGGUGAUACUAGAAUUUUAUGUUGAAACAAAUUUUGGUUUCAUGUUCCAUAAUCGUCGACAAGACCAAAUUGUAGUUUAUUAUUGGAACUAAUUUUGGUUUCAACAUAUUUUUUCAUUUUGUUGACAUAUAUUUUUUUCAUUUUGUUGACAUAUUCUUGGCGGCGACGAUGGUGCUGGUGGUUGGCGAUGGUGGGCGGCAGCGGUGCUGGUGGUCGGUGGUGGCGGCGGCAGUAAUCAGCGGUGGUGCUGACUGGUGGCGGUGGACAGUGGACGGUGGU